CCUACGGGAGGCUGCAGUAGGGAAUCUUCCACAAUGGGCGAAAGCCUGAUGGAGCAACGCCGCGUGGGUGAAGAAGGUCUUCGGAUCGUAAAACCCUGUUGUUAGAGAAGAAAGUGCGUGAGAGUAACUGUUCACGUUUCGACGGUAUCUGACCAGAAAGCCACGGCUAACUACGUGCCAGCAGUCGCGGUAAUACGUAGGUGACAAGCGUUAUCCGGAUUUAUUGGGCGUAAAGGGAACGCAGGCGGUCUUUUAAGUCUGAUGUGAAAGCCUUCGGCUUAACCGGAGUAGUGCAUUGGAAACUGGGAGACUGGAGUGCAGAAGAGGAGAGUGGAAUUCAAGGUGUAGCGGUGAAAUGCGUAGAUAUAUGGAAGAACACCAGUGGCGAAAGCGGCUGUCUGGUCUGUAACUGACGCUGAGGUUCGAAAGCGUGGGUAGCAAACAGGAUUAGAUACCCCUGUAGUC
rnacentral:rRNA from 1 species